UGGGGAAUUUUGGACAAUGGGCGAAAGCCUGAUCCAGCAAUGCCGCGUGUGUGAAGAAGGCCUUCGGGUUGUAAAGCACUUUUGUCCGGAAAGAAAUCCUCUGGGUUAAUACCUCGGGGGGAUGACGGUACCGGAAGAAUAAGCACCGGCUAACUACGUGCCAGCAGCCGCGGUAAUACGUAGGGUGCAAGCGUUAAUCGGAAUUACUGGGCGUAAAGCGUGCGCAGGCGGUUUUGUAAGACGGAUGUGAAAUCCCCGGGCUUAACCUGGGAACUGCAUUCGUGACUGCAAGGCUAGAGUAUGGCAGAGGGGGGUAGAAUUCCACGUGUAGCAGUGAAAUGCGUAGAGAUGUGGAGGAAUACCGAUGGCGAAGGCAGCCCCCUGGGCCAAUACUGACGCUCAUGCACGAAAGCGUGGGGAGCAAAACAGGAUUAGGAUACCCUGGUAGUCCACGCCCUAAACGAUGUCAACUAGUUGUUGGGGAUUCAUUUCCUUAGUAACGUAGCUAACGCGUGAAGUUGACCGCCUGGGGAGUACGGUCGCAAGAUUAAAACUCAAAUGAAUUGACGGGGUCAUAGCUGUUUCC
rnacentral:rRNA from 1 species